rnacentral:rRNA from 1 species
GACGAACGCUGGCGGCAUGCCUAAUACAUGCAAGUCGAGCGGAGUUGACGAGAAGCUUGCUUCUCUGAUACUUAGCGGCGGACGGGUGAGUAACACGUCGGCAACCUGCCUUUCAGUUUGGGAUAACUUCCGGAAACGGAUGCUAAUACCGAAUACAUCAUCUUCUGGCAUCAGAGAAUGAGGUAAGACGGCGCAAGCUGUCACCGAGAGAUGGGCCUGCGGCGCAUUAGCUAGUUGGUGGGGUAAUGGCCAACCAAGGCGACGAUGCGUAGCCGACCUGAGAGGGUGAACGGCCACACUGUGACUGAGACACGGCCCAGACUCCUACGGGAGGCAGCAGUAGGGAAUCUUCCACAAUGGGCGAAAGCCUGAUGGAGCAAUGCCGCGUGAGUGAUGAAGGUUUUCGGAUCGUAAAGCUCUGUUGCCAGGGAAGAACGUCCGGGUGAGCAACUGCACCCGGAGUGACGGUACCUGAGAAGAAAGCCCCGGCUAACUACGUGCCAGCCGCCGCCGUAA